GACGAACGCUGGCGGCGUGCUUAACACAUGCAAGUCGAACGAUGAAGCCGGAGCUUGCUCUGGUGAAUUAGUGGCGAACGGGUGGGUAACACGUGAGUAACCUGCCCUUGACUCUGGGAUAACUGCUAGAAAUGGUAGCUAAUACCGGAUACGACCCUCGGAGGCAUCUCCAGGGGGUGGAAAGAAUUUCGGUCAAGGAUGGACUCGCGGCCUAUCAGCUAGUUGGUGAGGUAACGGCUCACCAAGGCGACGACGGGUAGCCGGCCUGAGAGGGUGAUCGGCCACACUGGGACUGAGACACGGCCCAGACUCCUACGGGAGGCAGCAGUGGGGAAUAUUGCACAAUGGGCGCAAGCCUGAUGCAGCAACGCCGCGUGAGGGAUGACGGCCUUCGGGUUGUAAACCUCUUUUAGUAGGGAAGAAGCGAAAGUGACGGUACCUGCAGAAAAAGCACUGGCUAACUACGUGCCAGCCGCCGCCGUAA
rnacentral:rRNA from 1 species